rnacentral:rRNA from 1 species
CCUACGGGAGGCAGCAGUGGGGAAUCUUGGACAAUGGGCGCAAGCCUGAUCCAGCCAUGCCGCGUGAGUGAAGAAGGCCUUCGGGUUGUAAAGCUCUUUUGUCAGGGACGAUAAUGACGGUACCUGAAGAAUAAGCCCCGGCAAACUUCGUGCCAGCAGCCGCGGUAAUACGAAGGGGGCUAGCGUUGUUCGGAUUUACUGGGCGUAAAGCGUACGUAGGCGGAUUGUUAAGUGAGAGGUGAAAUCCCAGGGCUCAACCCUGGAACUGCCUUUCAUACUGGCAAUCUCGAGUUCGGAAGAGGUGAGUGGAAUUCCUAGUGUAGAGGUGAAAUUCGUAGAUAUUAGGAAGAACACCGGUGGCGAAGGCGGCUCACUGGUCCGAUACUGACGCUGAGGUACGAAAGCGUGGGGAGCAAACAGGAUUAGAUACCCUGGUAGUCCACGCCGUAAACUAUGGGUGCUAGCCGUUGGAAAGCUUGCUUUUCAGUGGCGCAGCUACGACAUUAAGUACACCCCGCCCGUCGGGUAGGUACGGGUCGGCGAAGAAUUAAACUAACAAGAAGUAGUAGACGCGNGAGAGCGACGACGACGACGACGGAGGAGGAG